CCUUCACUUGUCCCUUUCUCUAUCUUAAAAAAAAAAGAAAAGAAAACAGAGGCACGUCUUUACGAGUGAGAAGCACGUGAAUGAUUUCCCCAAAGAGAACCAUCGUCUUGUCUCUUCCAAUUUCUCGAAAAAUACAGGAAACUAACGCCCCUUUCUCCUUUUUCUUACUCCUCUCCUUACCUACCCCACCCCUAAACGGAAGCCUAGUCAUGCCGCAUUUGCUUCAACUGUGAAAUCCAAAAUCAGAAGCAACAGAUCCUAAAUUAUGAUAUCACCUGCUUUUAAUUUCAAAUCUACCAUCAUAAGUCUGAAAAGGUUGAAGAUCUAGAUUUGAAUUUCGAAUUUUUCUCCUCGGUUCUUACAUUUUUCUUAAAUCUUUGGCUUUAAAUCCGGACUUUCAAGUCCGGAUUUAGCCUAUAAAUAGGAUGUCUUCAUCCUUAGAGGACAAGGUCGAAGAGAGAGAGAGAGAACGAAAGCAAAAGAAAAAAAUUUAUGAGGUUUUUUCAGAGACUUAAUUUUGUAAGCAAGACAAAAAAAAAGAGAGUAGCAAGAUCAGUGGAAAAGAAGAAAAAUCUGUGAGAAAAGGAAAAAAAGGAGGGGGGCGAAAACAGGAUUUAAAAAUCAGGGGUCUCAAGUUUUCUUAGUUUUUUUCUGUUUUGCUUAAAAUUUCAAGUUCGGGUUGAGUUUCAAAGUCGCCGGAAUACUCGACGGAGAGACUCUUGUUUGUUGCUCCCAAAAAGGGCAUCCUUGAAGGUCAUUUCAACUUCGUCAGUUCCGGGUCGGCUAUGUAAGGUAGAUCGUUUGUUUCCAUAAGGUUGGGUGGGUCUGGUGGCGUUGGUGGUUCGGCGGUCGGAGUUAUGACAUGGUGGUUGGCCAUGUCUUAUUCAAUGAUUUCUUAUUAACAAGUUCAUAGGCACACAGUUUAAUGCAAUGCAGAGUGGAUAUAUAAGUUUUCAUCAUGUCAAAUUUGUCGAAGCUUGAGUUUGUGGCACUUGAUAUCUCCAAAAAAAUUACUUGUUAUGGAUUCUCAAUGUUGAAAUUCAUCUAGCUGCUAAGGGUGUUUGUGCUACUAUUCCUCGGAUAAUGCAGUCAGGACAAGGUCAAGGCUAUGAUUUUCCUUCGUCAUCAUCUGGAUGAAGGAUUGAAGGUUGAAUAUCUAACAGUGAAAGAUCCACUUGAACUGUGGAUUGAUUUGAAGGAAAGAUAUGACCACCUAAAGGCCACAGUACUGCCUAGAGCUUAUUAUGAGUGGAUGUACUUACGGUCUCAAGAUUUUAAACCAUUGUUGAAUAUAAUUCUAUUGUAUUCAGGAUUGUUUCCCAAUAGAAAUUAUGUGAAAAAACUAUAAAUGAUGAGGAUAUGAUGGAAAAAAAAACUUAAUA